GCAUCGGUGGUUCAGUGGUAGAAUGCUCGCCUGCCAACGCGGGCGGCCAGGGUUCGAUUCCCGGCCGAUGCA
rnacentral:tRNA from 1 species